UUUUAAACAUAUGUAUGCCCCAUGCAUUAUUUGGGACACAUGUACACUAAAA
rnacentral:pre_miRNA from 1 species